GCAUGUACUGUAUAGUAAAGAAUACGAAAGUGUUCCAGUGUAGGCAGUAUUCUCAAAACUGAAACCAUGAAGCUUAAAGGCCCGUUUGCGAUUUUAGCUGCGAUUUUCGUCUUCUGACGGAUGUAAACAAGUGGAGGAGUUAUGAAUGUUUAGAUGACGACUGAUGAUGUUAAAUAUACUCGAUACAUUCAUAACUCAUCUACUCGUUCACAUGCAUCAGAAGAUGAGAAUUGCACCAGAAAUCGCAG